rnacentral:rRNA from 1 species
UACGUAGGGGGCAAGCGUUAUCCGGAUUUACUGGGUGUAAAGGGAGCGUAGACGGCUAAUCAAGUCAGAAGUGAAAACCCAGGGCUCAACCUUGGGACUGCUUUUGAAACUGAGUAGCUAGAGUGCAGGAGAGGUAAGCGGAAUUCCUAGUGUAGCGGUGAAAUGCGUAGAUAUUAGGAGGAACACCAGUGGCGAAGGCGGCUUACUGGACUGUAACUGACGUUGAGGCUCGAAAGCGUGGGGAGCAAACA